rnacentral:antisense_RNA from 1 species
GAGCCUGUCCGGGAUGUGAAGUCAACAUAUAUAAAGCCAGAAUGUUCUAUCCUUGGCCCAGGUGAUGCUCUUGGAACACAGCAAGCAAACACAUGCACCCAAUGCCUAGGGAACUCGAGGCUCUCCAAGUAAAAAAGGAGAGAGGGUCAGAAGAGAUGCCCAGCAGACUGCCACUUGGUAGACAAGAGUUCCCUUUUUGCUAAAGUGGCCAUUACUGUCAAGUUUUCUCAAGCAAGAAAUUCAGGAAUCUUGCCAGGGGCAAAGCUAUCCAGAUCCAAAAAUUGGGUGCAACCUAGUUUUGUGCUCCCAGAAGACAUCGAGAUGGCAAGGAAGGCGUGUAACCAAGCCCCUGAAAUAAUCGCGUUGGAGGAGAUGCCUGGAGGCAGGUGAUUGGAUCAUGGGGGAGGACAACCCCCUUGGUGUUCUCAUGAUAAUGAAUUCUAUGAAUAGUUGAAACAUAUCUUCUAUGGGAGGACAUGUUUGGAAAAAAUGCUUAAUUUUCAUCAACAUUCCGGUGUAGUUGGCAGAAUUUUGGAGUGACCUCCCUGGACCACAUACUGCGGCCUCCGACC